CGUGGUGGAUAAGUGCGGCGAUGUAGAGGCAGAACAAUGUCGGCGCCACCGUGCAGCCCUGUUUGACACCGGUCCGAACCGGGAAUGGGGGAGUAAUUUCGCCCUGAGUCAGGACGCAACCCUUCAUGCCGUCGUGAAACAUCCGGAUGAGGGAUAUGAAUUUGGGGGGGCAGCCUUGACGUUCCAGCACUUUCCAGAGUGCUGUUCGGGGCACAGAAUCAAACGCUUUGGCCAGAUCAUAAAAGAUGGCGUGGAACUCCCUCCGCUGCUCCCGGCACUUCUCCAGGAGCUGCCUGGCGCAGAACACCAUGUCCGCGGUUCCCCUGCCUGGACGGAAGCCCGCCUGGGACUCCGGAAGAACCCGCUCAGCGAGACAGUUUCCACAGUCGAGUUUGUCGCCCUUCUUGAAUAUCGUGACGAUGACGGAGUCCUUCAGUUCUCCAGGCACCGUCUCCUCGACCCAGCAUUGAAGGAUGAAGGUGUGGAGGCGGGGCUCCGGAGAUCUCCCGGAGAGUCGGCAGCUCCGUCAUCCAGUGUUGGAAUGGUCCGAGGUUGAGU